CUACGAUAGUAGAGGGGCAUUAUGUUUUCUGGUCUGUGCCUCCGUUGGUUCGUCCGUCUGUGCGUCCGUUCGCUUCAGGUUAAAGUUUUUGGUCAAGGUAGUUUUUGAAGAAGUUGAAGUCCAAUCAACUUGAAACUUAGUACACAUGUUCCCUAUGAUAUGAUCUUUCUAAUUCUAAUGCCAAAUUCUAGUUUUGACCCCAAUUUCAUGGUCCACUGAACAUAGAAAAUGAUAGUGCGAAGUUCAGGUUAAAGUUUUUGGUCAAGGUAGUUUUUGAUGAAGUUAAAGUUACAUCAACUUGAAACUUAGUACACAUGUUCCCUAUGAGGCCACAAUUAAAAAUAUUUCAGUUUGCCCAAACCCGACCCAUGAUGACUUGGUGUGGGUAGGUAGGUAGGCAAAUUCGUUUUUUUUUCCCUUCAGAAUUUGCAUGAAAAUAUUAAAAGAUCUUAAAACAGUACAUCUGUUUUUUUCGUCAAACCUUUGUAGAGUCAAC
rnacentral:lncRNA from 1 species